rnacentral:rRNA from 1 species
UCCACGCCGUAAACGAUGAGUGCUAGACGUUGGGGAUGUAACGUUCUCGGUGUCGCAGUUAACGCGUUAAGCACUCCGCCUGGGGAGUACGGUCGCAAGAUUAAAACUCAAAGGAAUUGACGGGGGCCCGCACAAGCGGUGGAGCAUGUGGUUUAAUUCGAUGCAACGCGAAGAACCUUACCUGGGUUGGAAAAUCCCGAAAUCUUGCAGAGAUGUGAGAGUGCCGUUAAGGA